CAAGGCCUGACAUGUCGGAAGUAGUAACCCGAAAGGGAAACCACCUGUUAAGUCAGGAGCCGUCACAGGUGCUACAUGGCUGUCGUCAGCUCGUGCCGUGAGGUGUUCGGUUAAGUCCAGCAACGAGCGCAACCCUCGUUGCCAGUUGUAUUCUCCGGCGAGACUGCCCCGUAAAACGGGAGGAAGGUGGGGAUGACGUCAAGUCAGCACGGCCCUUAUGUCUUGGGCUACACACACGCUACAAUGGGUGGUACAAUGGGUAGCAAUAGAGUGAUCUGGAGCUAAUCCUAUAAAGCCACCCUCAGUUCGGAUUGUAGGCUGAAACUCGCCCGCAUGAAGUUGGAGUUGCUAGUAACUGCAGGUCAGCAUACUGCGGUGAAUGCGUUCU
rnacentral:rRNA from 1 species